GCGACGGAUGCGCGGCGGUGCCCUGGACCCGGGCGGGCACGGUCCCCUGCCGAGCGUGGAUUUUAUUUAUUCAUGAGAGACAGAGUGGCAGAGACACACAGGCAGAGGGAGAAGCAGGCUCCAUGCAGGGAGCCCAACGUGGGACUUGAUCCCGGGUCUCCAGGAUCACGCCCUGGGGCCGAAGGCGGCGCGAAACCACUGAGCCACCCAGGCUGCCCCUGAUAGACAGACUUUAAUAUUUCUGUCACAAAGCAUGGACGUUCUGUCUAUAUUAAGUGACUUCAUAAUCUGAAUGAGGUGUCUCAGAAGCCCCCCAAAAGUGGAAAGACUGAGGACACAGAAUAACACUUCUUACUGACCCCCCUGCUCUGCCUUCCUGACAGUGUCCUCACAAUCUGAAGGAGGCUGGGGAGAAGGGAGAAGGAAAGGGCAUUUCUAUAGCCUCAUAGUAAAGAAGGCACA